rnacentral:rRNA from 1 species
UUAAGCGACUAAGCGUACACGGUGGAUGCCCUGGCAGUCAGAGGCGAUGAAGGACGUGCUAAUCUGCGAAAAGCGUCGGUAAGGUGAUAUGAACCGUUAUAACCGGCGAUGUCCGAAUGGGGAAACCCAGUGUGAUUCGUCACACUAUCGUUAACUGAAUACAUAGGUUAACGAGGCGAACCGGGGGAACUGAAACAUCUAAGUACCCCGAGGAAAAGAAAUCAACCGAGAUUCCCCCAGUAGCGGCGAGCGAACGGGGAGCAGCCCAGAGUCUGAAUCAGCUUGUGUGUUAGUGGAACGGUCUGGAAAGUCCGACGGUACAGGGUGAUAGUCCCGUACACCAAAAUGCACAGGCUGUGAACUCGAAGAGUAGGGCGGGACACGUGGUAUCCUGUCUGAAUAUGGGGGGACCAUCCUCCAAGGCUAAAUACUCCUGACUGACCGAUAGUGAACCAGUACCGUGAGGGAAAGGCGAAAAGAACCCCGGCGAGGGGAGUGAAAAAGAACCUGAAACCGUGUACGUACAAGCAGUGGGAGCACCUUCGGGUGUGACUGCGUACCUUUUGUAUAAUGGGUCAGCGACUUAUAUUCUGUAGCAAGGUUAACCGUAUAGGGGAGCCGCAGGGAAACCGAGUCUUAACUGGGCGUUAAGUUGCAGGGUAUAGACCCGAAACCCGGUGAUCUAGCCAUGGGCAGGUUGAAGGUUGGGUAACACUAACUGGAGGACCGAACCGACUAAUGUUGAAAAAUUAGCGGAUGACUUGUGGCUGGGGGUGAAAGGCCAAUCAAACCGGGAGAUAGCUGGUUCUCCCCGAAAGCUAUUUAGGUAGCGCCUCGUGAACUCAUCUUCGGGGGUAGAGCACUGUUUCGGCUAGGGGGUCAUCCCGACUUACCAACCCGAUGCAAACUACGAAUACCGAAGAAUGUUAUCACGGGAGACACACGGCGGGUGCUAACGUCCGUCGUGAAGAGGGAAACAACCCAGACCGCCAGCUAAGGUCCCAAAGUCAUGGUUAAGUGGGAAACGAUGUGGGAAGGCACAGACAGCCAGGAUGUUGGCUUAGAAGCAGCCAUCAUUUAAAGAAAGCGUAAUAGCUCACUGGUCGAGUCGGCCUGCGCGGAAGAUGUAACGGGGCUAAACCAUGCACCGAAGCUGCGGCAGCGACACUAUGUGUUGUUGGGUAGGGGAGCGUUCUGUAAGCCUGCGAAGGUGUGCUGUGAGGCAUGCUGGAGGUAUCAGAAGUGCGAAUGCUGACAUAAGUAACGAUAAAGCGGGUGAAAAGCCCGCUCGCCGGAAGACCAAGGGUUCCUGUCCAACGUUAAUCGGGGCAGGGUGAGUCGACCCCUAAGGCGAGGCCGAAAGGCGUAGUCGAUGGGAAACAGGUUAAUAUUCCUGUACUUGGUGUUACUGCGAAGGGGGGACGGAGAAGGCUAUGUUAGCCGGGCGACGGUUGUCCCGGUUUAAGCAUGUAGGCUGGUUAUCCAGGCAAAUCCGGAUAAUCAAGGCUGAGGUGUGAUGACGAGGCACUACGGUGCUGAAGUAACAAAUGCCCUGCUUCCAGGAAAAGCCUCUAAGCAUCAGGUAACAUCAAAUCGUACCCCAAACCGACACAGGUGGUCAGGUAGAGAAUACCAAGGCGCUUGAGAGAACUCGGGUGAAGGAACUAGGCAAAAUGGUGCCGUAACUUCGGGAGAAGGCACGCUGGUGUGUAGGUGAAGUCCCUGCGGAUGGAGCUGAGACCAGUCGAAGAUACCAGCUGGCUGCAACUGUUUAUUAAAAACACAGCACUGUGCAAACACGAAAGUGGACGUAUACGGUGUGACGCCUGCCCGGUGCCGGAAGGUUAAUUGAUGGGGUUAUCCGUAAGGAGAAGCUCUUGAUCGAAGCCCCGGUAAACGGCGGCCGUAACUAUAACGGUCCUAAGGUAGCGAAAUUCCUUGUCGGGUAAGUUCCGACCUGCACGAAUGGCGUAAUGAUGGCCAGGCUGUCUCCACCCGAGACUCAGUGAAAUUGAACUCGCUGUGAAGAUGCAGUGUACCCGCGGCAAGACGGAAAGACCCCGUGAACCUUUACUAUAGCUUGACACUGAACAUUGAGCCUUGAUGUGUAGGAUAGGUGGGAGGCUUUGAAGCGUGGACGCCAGUCUGCGUGGAGCCAACCUUGAAAUACCACCCUUUAAUGUUUGAUGUUCUAACGUUGGCCCCUUACCGGGGUUGCGGACAGUGUCUGGUGGGUAGUUUGACUGGGGCGGUCUCCUCCCAAAGCGUAACGGAGGAGCACGAAGGUUAGCUAAUCCUGGUCGGACAUCAGGAGGUUAGUGCAAUGGCAUAAGCUAGCUUGACUGCGAGCGUGACGGCGCGAGCAGGUGCGAAAGCAGGUCAUAGUGAUCCGGUGGUUCUGAAUGGAAGGGCCAUCGCUCAACGGAUAAAAGGUACUCCGGGGAUAACAGGCUGAUACCGCCCAAGAGUUCAUAUCGACGGCGGUGUUUGGCACCUCGAUGUCGGCUCAUCACAUCCUGGGGCUGAAGUAGGUCCCAAGGGUAUGGCUGUUCGCCAUUUAAAGUGGUACGCGAGCUGGGUUUAGAACGUCGUGAGACAGUUCGGUCCCUAUCUGCCGUGGGCGCUGGAGAAUUGAGGGGGGCUGCUCCUAGUACGAGAGGACCGGAGUGGACGCAUCACUGGUGUUCGGGUUGUCAUGCCAAUGGCACUGCCCGGUAGCUAAAUGCGGAAGAGAUAAGUGCUGAAAGCAUCUAAGCACGAAACUUGCCCCGAGAUGAGUUCUCCCUGAGACUUUAAGUCUCCUGAAGGAACGUUAAAGACGAUGACGUUGAUAGGCCGGGUGUGUAAGCGCAGCGAUGCGUUGAGCUAACCGGUACUAAUGAACCGUGAGGCUUAACCUU